ACGGGAGGCAGCAGUGGGGGAUAUUGCACAAUGGAGGAAACUCUGAUGCAGCAACGCCGCGUGAGGGAAGAAGGUUUUCGGAUUGUAAACCUCUGUUUUUAGUGAAGAAACAAAUGACGGUAGCUAAAGAGGAAGCCACGGCUAACAACGUGCCAGCAGCCGCGGUAAUACGGAGGUGGCAAGCGUUGUCCGGAUUUACUGGGUGUAAAGGGUGCGCAGGCGGGACUGCAAGUUGGAUGUGAAAUGCUGAGGCUUAACCUCGGAGCUGCAUCUGAAACUGUGGUUCUUGAGUGGAGUAGAGGUAAGCGGAAUUCCGCGUGUAGCGGUGAAAUGCGUAGAUAUUCGGAGGAACACCAGUGGCGAAGGCGGCUUACUGGGCUCUAACUGACGCUUAGGCACGAAAGUGUGGGUAGCAAACAGGAUUAGAUACCCUGGUA
rnacentral:rRNA from 1 species